CUAAUCUGUUUAGAAAUGAAGUCUAUCUAAAAGUGCUGAAACAAAAUUUUAUUAUCGAUCUUAUAUACAAAAUUUAAAAAUUUAUAAAAAAAUUAUUGUUUUGAAUUUUUAAACUGGUAGUUUUUCUAUCCUUCCGGCGGCAUCUCUGUAUCCUACACAAACUUUAACAGAAAUCCGUUUUUAAAAAUUUAUAAAAAAUUUCUAAUUAUUAUUUUUUGAUAGUUAGAAUGUCGAAUAUUUUAUUAUUACAUAAGACGGAAGUUAAUAAUGACGGUUACAUUAUAUAUAUAUAAAGCGUAGUACGAAAGGAAUGAGUAUUUACGACACUUCAAAUAUUUAUCUGUAGGAUGUUCAACAUUAUAGGAUAGAAUUACUAAAGAAACAUAGUUUUAGAAACAUCCAAUAGUUUUAAGAAAAGUUGAUGUUUUUCUCUUAUUGAAAUAAAAAUUGUAGAGAGAGAGAAAAAGAGGAAAAAAAAAAAAUGUAUGCAGCGCAUGAAGCGGUUUUAAGAAUUCUCUCUCACUCCAUUACCGCAUCGGUGACUCCAUCUUCAAACCACUUUCUGGAUCUCGACCUUUGCGACGGAAACUGGAGUUCUUCCCAAGAGAUUCAACGUUUUCUCUCAUUCUGUACACGUGGUGCCAAUAUAUGGUAUUGCUACGUGCUUAACUUGUCAAUCAAUCCUUACACCGAUUUGUUCCGGUGUAAAUAACAAACAGCAAACACAGACUUUCUGAACACGUUUCAAAUAUCGCGAUAUCUUUUUCGCUGCUUCUCUUUGCAUGAAGCAACAAGUUAUUUGUUGAUGCUUUCGCUAGCUUAGAAAAAUCCGAGAACACAUAAUAAUAUAAGAAUUUUUAUUUUAUUUUUUGAAACUUUAAGUUGGCAACAC
rnacentral:lncRNA from 1 species